CCGUGGCAUAUGGAGUUUCCCAGGCUAGGGGUCUAAUCGGAGCUGUAGCUGCCAGCCUAUGCCAGAGCCACAGCAACUCGGGAUCCGAACCGCGUCUGCAACCCACACCACAGCUCAUGGCAACGCCGGAUCGUUAACCCACUGAGCAAGGGCAGGGAUCGAACCUGAAACCUCAUGGUUCCUAGUCGGAUUCAUUAACCAGUGCACCACAACGGGAACUCCCAACCUAGAGCUUUUGUUUGUGUUUUUAGGGCCACACCCUCGGCACAUGGAAGUAGCCAGGCUAGGAGUCAAUUCGGAGCUGCAGCUGCCAGCCUAUACCACAGCCACAGCAACGCCAGAUCUGAGCUAUGUCUGCGACCUACACCACAGCUCACGGCAAUGCUGGAUCCUUAACCCACUGAGCGAGGCCAGGGAUCAAACAGGCAUCCUCAUGGAUAUUAGUUGGGUUUGUUACCACUGAGCCACAGUGGGAACUCCUAGAGUUUCUUACAUCGCACCGCUAAAAUGAUAAUCAGGAUGCAUGUAUGUACAUCACUUGGCGUCACCCUAUUUAUAGACUCUUGUACACCUGCCUUUCUUCACCUAAUACCUUGGGAAUCGCAGGAUCUUGCCUCGUCAGCACAUUUGAGCUACGCUGUCCUUUUGAGCAGCCGCAUUAAUAUCUACCGAUGGCCAUUUGGGUUCUUUCUAGUCGUUAGCUAUUACAAAUAAUGCUGCAGCGAGCGUCUUGUUCACGUAUCUUAGAGGACUUCUGCCAGCACAGCCAUUGGAUAAAUUACUAGCAGAGUUGCUGAGUCAGAGGGCUCUUUUUAAGAACACUUAUGGGCGUGUGGAGGACGAGUUGGCAGGGCCACUGUACAGAGUCCAGCUGGAGGCCAUGGCAGUAAUUCUUGGGUGAGUGAUGGUGGUGGCUUGGAGCCAGGCUGAGGGGGCAGAAGCCCCCAGAGGCGCCGCGGGAGAGCGGAGAGAGGGGAAGCGAGCCCGAGUUGAGCCUGUGGGUUGGAGGCUGUGAGGAAACGGCCGUCAGUGAUGACCUUGCAGCUUGAGGCCUGGCCUGCAAAGAGGCCAGUAUUGCAGGGCAGGCCUUGGCCCUCGUCCCAGAACCUGGAGUGAGGACAACCCUCGUGGCUGGCCUUGGCCUGUCCCCCUGGGCCGUGGAGCUGAGCUGUGGAGCUUGGCACCCGCUCUUCUCUCUUCAAGUCCUUUGCAGCUGGUCUGUCUGCAAGUUGAGGCUGGCAGAACUGGUGUUUCUUGCCCCCCCUCUUUUUUUUUUGCUUUUUAGGGCUGCACCCUCAGCAUAUGGAGGUUCUCGGGCUGGAGUCUAAUCCGAGCUGCAGCCACCGGCCUACGCCAGAGUCAUGUCAAUGCAGGAUCCGAGCCGCAUCUGAGACCUACACACCGAAGCUCACCGCAAUGCUGAGUCCUUAACCCACUGAGCAAGGCCAGGAAUCAAACCCACAUCCUCAUAGAUGCUAGUCAGGUUUGUAACCUGCUGAGCCACGAUAGGAACUCCAGGACUGGUGUUUCUGUGCUCCCCGUGCAGGUGAGGAGCCUGAGGCCCAGACCUCAUGGGGUAGUGUGAAGAGCGGGGAAGGUCGCAUGUGAUGACAGCUGCCCCCUCCACUUCCCCAAAUCCCCAAAUCCCACCUGCCUCAUCCUCACCACCCUCUUACCUCCCUUUCUUCUAAACUCAGGGAGGGAGGAAAUAGGGGAUGAUGUUAAGGCGUUAUUUGGCCUCAGGAACAGACUACCGAGCACCCACCUAGUUAGAGUGAGUCUGGGGAAGGAAGCAGGACUGUGAGAGGAGGGGGUACACUGGUCUAAAAAUUGUACCAGAGGAACUCAGAUUGUUGCCACACCUGCGCCUGUGGAUGUUCCCAGGUCAGGGAUCGAACCUGAGCUACAGUUGCAGGCUGCACCACAGCUGCAGCAAUGCCAGGUCCUUAACCCAUGCCACCACGUGGGAACUUCCUAGGGACUUGGAUUUUUAAGCAACAUGCAUUUGGAACCAAUGUUUUGACACUGGCUUUGAGCACAUGUGAACACUCUCUCAUUUUGUCUUUGUCUUGGAGUUCUGGCUGUGGCGCAGCAAAAUUGGCGGGAUUUUGGGGGCACUAGCACUAGGACACGGGUUUGAUCUCCAGCCUGACACAGUGGGUUAAAGUCCUGUGUUGCUGCGGCUGUGGCUUAGAUUGCACCUGUGGCUCAGAUCUGAUCCCUGGCCCAGGAACUCCAUGUGCUACGGGGCAGCCAAAAAGGGGGAAAAUGUCCUUUUCAAUUUUUUAAUUUUUUUAAAUCUGCACCCGUGGCAUAUGGAAGUUCUAGGGCAAGGGGUCAAAUCAGAGCUGUAGCUGCCAGCCUACACCAGAGCCACACGGGAUCUGAGCCGCAUCUGUAACCUAUACCACAGCUUCUUCACAGCAAUACCAGAUCCUUAGCCCACUGAGCGGGGCCAGGGAUCGAACCCGUGUCCUCACGGAUGCUAGUCGGGUUCGUUACCACCGAGCCACGAUGCGGACGCCAGGUGUCUUGUUGAUCCAUUAGAAAGUUCUCAGAUCAUUCCCAGCAGGUGUCAGAGGACCGGAGCAACACCAUUUCUAAGAGUCCCCUGGUGCAGUUUCCACUCAGAUGCUGGGUCUCCUCAUGUGCAAAGUGGGGAUAAAGCCCCACAUCCCCCUCGGAUUCGGCCCACUUUCGGAUUACCAGCUGCAUUUGAUCAGGAGGUUUCCAGUAGGUGCAACUGGAAAAGCCCCGUGGAGAGGUGAGGUUACUUUGGGGCGCCUUUAGGCUGUGGGUCCUUUCCCAAGCCGGCUCUGGCUGGGUGCUUGACAGACGCUCUGCCCCUCAGCCGCAGGCCCAAGGCUGGCACGGGAGCAGGCGGGGGUCACCUCAGGCUUCAGACAGCAUCGCCUUGCUUCGUCUUUGGCUUCGGGAGAAAGCAUGUGUGGGACGUGAGGGUCUGACCCUCCUCCCCUGGACGUGAAACACAGUCCCCGUGACUCAGGGGGCCUGGCUGCCACAAGACGCCCCCGCUCCAGGGCCCUUCUCCCCAGGGAUGUCGGGGAGCCUCCAGCAACUCCCAGGGCGCACGCCUCGGCUCAGGGCCCGAGUUCCCAACCACUUGCCUCACUCAUCUCACAAGUGUCCCUGAGCGUCUGGCCUGUGGCAGGUGUGCCGCAAGGCCCUGGGUGAGCAGUGAGCUCAACAAGGUCCCUGCUGUCUCCGAGGGGACAUCCCAGUGUCAGAGGACGCGCAGGAAAAUGUUCCCGGGAGCGGACUCAGGUGGAAGCUCACUGGGGAGCAGCCCGCAGAGACCUGCGAGCAGGUGAGGGGGGCAUGGCUGAAGCCCUGCGGACCCUGCAGAGAGCCUGGAGCCGGGGGCCCUUCGGAGUUGUUCCGAAUGGAGGCGAAGCGUGGGGCCCUGAGGUCCACACCGGGCACUGGCCACCAGCCUCAGCCGGGGCGGAGGUGAAACCGUGGGAGAGGCAGUUCCCUGGGGCCCAGGGCUGUGCCCAGGCAGGGAUGCAGUGUGAGCCGUCAACUACUGGGGAUGGGGUGUGGCCCGCACAGGGCGAGGCCUCAGGGGGAGGGGACAUUUGAGUGGACACCGAGGUGUGGGGGGCAGGCUGGGAAGACAGCGGGGGACAAUGCCGCAGCUCUGGGAUGGGUGUAGGGUUGGUGCGUCUGUGGAAGAGCGAGGAGGCAAGGGAGCGCCCGAUGGAGCUCGGGCUCCAGCACCAGGACCCCUGGCAGCCUGCCCCUCCCCGCUGCGCUCCCGGAACUGGGUCUGGCGGAAGGAAUUAAAGGCACAGGCGAGCAGCGUCUACAGAGACAUCCUUUAAAGGUGACGGAGCAGGCAAAAGCUAAGAGGGACUCUGAGGUCAGUGUGAGUUUGCUCUAAUCCUAGUUCUGCUCCUGAGAAGGGGCUUAUUUAUCGUCCCCUCUGCCCUUGACCUGAAACCCCAGGUACGUACCCCCUCAUGCCAUACAUGCCCGCACCUAUACUUCCCUCAGCUGGCUUACACACGUCCAGUGAUGGGGAGCUUACUACCUCCAUGCCAGCCUCUCAUUCUGUGACAGGAGGAAUGUCUUUCUAUAGUUCCAAUGCCAGAGUCCCAGCUCUGCCCUCCAUCCAUUCUCAGUCAGGGGGGUUGCUCCGUAGAAAUUCUUUUAGUUUUUUUGCCUUUCAGGGCCACACCUACGGCACAUGGAGAGUUCCAGGCUAGGGGUCAAAUCGGAGCUGCAGCCAUUGGCCUACACCACAGCCACAGCAACUCAGCAUCUGAGCCGUGUCUGCGCAAGGCCAAGAAUCGAACACGGCCUCAUGGGUACCAGACAGGUUCGUAACCCACUGGGCCACAGUGAGAACUCCCUAUCCAAAAGAGAUUUGAAGAUGGAAAUUACAGGCAUUAAAGCCCAUAGCCCCCUGUCUGCCUCCCACUGACCUUCUAACCCAUGACACUCAAGCCACAGCUUACUUGGGCCACCUGCCGCAGGCCAUAUCACAGGGCAGGGCCGAGGACGGCAGGGUAGAGGGGCCAGCCUCUCACGUGUCGGCCUCUGCCUUCCUUAUUGCCAUAUGGGAUCAGCCUGUUCCAUGCCAGACACUCUGGUCACAGCUCCUCAUACCUAAAGCCUGUAUCCAGGGGGUGGGCUUUCGUCCAGGGCAAGAGACGAGCCUGACCAGAGCAGCAUAGCCCCCCUGGCUUUCUGCCACCCACCCCACAGCACACACACACACACAGGUCCCCUCAUCCUUAGCUGGGCCAAAAUGGAACAAUAGGCCAGGCAUGGGGACUGAGCCCUGAGGUUCCCCGCCACAGACCUGCUCUAGGAGAGUCCCACCGUUCAGCCCCGCCCCCCUUUUCUUUAAUUUUUAGUUUUUAUUUUAUUUUUUGUCUUUUUGUCUUUUCUAGGGUUGCUCCUGCGGCAUAUGGAGGUUCCCAGGCUAGGAGUCCAAUGGGAGCUUAGCUGCCGGCCUAUGCCAAAGCCACAGCAACGUGGGAUCCAAGCCAUAUCUGCGACCCACACCACAGCUCACGGCAACGCCAGAUCCUUAACCCACUGAGUGAGGCCAGGGACCGAACCCGCAACCUCAUGGUUCCUAGUCAGAUUCGUUAACCACUGAGCCACGACGGGAACUCCCAGCCCCCUUUCUAAGUACCUCGUGUGUGCCAGGCCUCGUGCUCGGAGCCAGAGAUGCCAAACAGGGUCCUCCCCAGAGCUCGUAGUUUGCGGUGGGCAAUGACAGAGCUGUGAGUCUCCUCUGGAUCCAAAAAGGCCACCUCUUUCCCCAAGCUGUGCACCUACCCACAGGUGACGGCACGCAGUGGGCACGCGUGCAGGGGUGACUGUUCAACAAAUUGCCACAAACUCUGUGAAUGCUCGCUAAGCACAGGCCAGGCCCCAGGCCUUGUGCUGGGUGAUGGCAGGACAAAGGACACGCAGACACGGUCCCAGUCUGAUGGGACACUGAGCCAUCACAGCACAGGGGCCGUGGGGGCCCAGAGAAGGCCUCUCCCUUGGCCCAGAAGACUUCCUGAAAGAAGGUCCCUUUGCGCUGGAUUCUAAAGGACAAACAGGCGCCGGGGAGAGGGAACAGCGGGAACAAAGGCCCAGGGGCAGCGAGGCCUCGGGUGCUGCACAACUGGAGCGUGAAGCGCUGAGGAAGAGAACAAGCCGGAGCGGCCUGCGGGGUCGGAGGGAGGUGAGGACUGUGCCCCGGGGCCCGGGCAGCACACGCACCCCUCCCCCAGCCCCAAGCUUCCCACACUGACUCCGGGGCACCUCGCCCCCCCUCGCUUCUCUGCCUCCUUUGCUGGUUCCUCCUGUUCCCCAGGGCCAGCCCUCUGCCCCUUCUCCAUCCGCUUUCCAGACCAUCUCCUGGCUUCAAAGAGCAGCUGAAUCCGAGCAGCUGAAUCGAGCUCUGUUUCGAGCCCAGUCCUGCCUGCUUGACGUCUUUACCUGGAUGCGGAGCAAGCAUCUCAUGGAGCAUCACCUCAUCCGCUCAUCCCACAGCCUGCCCCGCCUCAGAGAAGGGCAGUUCCAGCCUCCGGGUCUGUUUUGCUCACUUCUGUAAUCAUGCAGGGCCUGGUGCCCCAUACUUGCAGGAAGGGACAGAAGGGAGAGUUUUCAGGAUGCUCAGAAGUGAGAUCUCUGAGGCGUUGGAAGGGCUGAGGAGGAGGCAGGAAACCGAACAUCCAGGUAACAGAUGCCAAGGACUUGGGCCCCCCUGGCACCAGGGAUGGAGUGGGAAGUGCCAGUGUGGGCAGAAUGGACCCUUGUUCUGGCCUUUUGUUUCCUGCGCCCGUGCCCAAUGAGCCCAGGGCAAGAGUUGGGCACAUCUGCGUCUCGCCCUUUCUCCUGCCCUGCCCAGCCCUGUCCCAGCCCCGGGCACCCCAGCUCCACUCAGUUCAGGGCAGAGCCCUUGCAGAAGCAGGGGAUGUGCUCUGGGCUCUGGCCCCUGAGUCUGAGAAAUCCUCAAGGGACAGGGAGUAGAGGCUUGGGGUGGGGCGAUCCCCAGGGUCACCCCCAGACCAUGAAGCUGAACGCCCCGGCCAAGCCCAAGCUGGAGUCCUGCUCUGCUCUGUGCCUUGGCCCUCGCUGACCGCCCACCCUGCAUGCCUCCAACCUCUUCCUGCCCUUGGCCAGACCCUGCUGGCAUCAGCUGGUUUGCUCAAGGCUCUCAGUGCCCAGCCAGAAGGGACAGGGCGGGCAGUCUCUAGCUAGGUCAGCUUUUCCUGACUCAGGCCUGGCCCUCACUCGGGGCCCUCAGGCUGGCAGGCCCCUUGGCUAAAGCCUCGUGGGCAGUGAUGACCUGUGGGAAAGCAGCUGCCAGGCUGGGACCCGGCCUGUCUGCUUCCGCCCGUUUCAGCGAUGGGCUAAAGCCCUUCUCCAUGAAAGAGGAGGAAUGACAGCUGCCUUCUGCCUCUCACUCUGGGGCCCUCUCCUGGCUGCACAACUGGGUCUGGCCUGGCCCUGUUCUCGAUCAGCCUGCGCAGGGCAGGGAGGCGAAUGCGCUCUGGGGACAGGAGCCUGACCUCUCCUCAAAGAUCUGCCGAGAAGGCCAACCCUGAACCAGCCCUCACCACGGCUGCCUCUGCUCCCACCUGCCCCGGGGUCCUGCUCCAGGGAACUAUGGAGGUUCGACGGUCAUCCCUGCCUCAUCCAUGGCCCGGCGCUGGCCCGGCACACGACAGUUGCUCGGAGCUCUUCAAAGUGUGCGUGCAGGUCAGUCCCAGCCUGAGCCUCCUCAUCUGUCCGACAGUGACGUGUGUCCAGUAGCUCAGAGGUGGGAAGAUCCUACAAACUUGGUCCUGGGGCGGGAAGGGCGAAUGGCAUCUUCUCAUCCCUGCCACUCCCAUCGCACCGUUGAGACUCGCCCCGAGUCACACCACCACCAAGAGCGAACGCUGCUGCUCGUACUACUUAAAGGCACUGUUCUAACACUUUCCAAAUGUAACACCUUCGUAACCACCACACACAGGGAAACUGUCAUCCCCAUUUUAUGGAAGAGGAAACUGAGGACAGAGGUAAGAACUAACUUGCCCAUGGCCACACGAUAAGCCGCAGUAAAGGCAGGAUCUCGAACUGGUCCCUUCAGCCUUGCAAAGGUGGGCUGAGGCCAUGCUCGGACACUGCGUUUCCCACCCCUUGUCUGCAGGCCUGGAUGAGGGACCCAGAGCUCCAGGGAAGCGGAAAGCGCUACUGCUUUUUUUUUCUUCUUCAGGGCUGCACCCACAGCAUGUGGAGGUUCCCAGGCUAGGCGUCCAAUGGGACCUGUAGCCGCCGGCCUACGCCACAGACACAGCAAUGGGGGAUCCAAGCCGUGUCUGCGAACUACACCACAGCUUACGGCAAGGCCGGAUCCUUAAGCCACUGAGCGAGGCCAGGGAUCGAACCCGCAACCUCAUGGUUCCCAGUCGGAUUCGUUAAGCACUGAGCCACGACGGGAACUCCUACUUUCUAAAUGUUGAUCAAAUUGGAAUCCACUGCUGCUGAACUACCCCCGUCCUCACUAGUUCUUGCCUAGACAGCGGCUGAGACCGAGUCUCCCUACGUGUGUCCAGGCCCACCCAACUAUCUUCCAGGACGCAGCCUGUACCAUCUUCUGAGUCAAGUCCAGGAGUUCCCGUUGCGCCUCAGUGGUGACGAACCUGACUAGUAUCCAUGAGGACCCAAGUUCGAUCCCUGGUCUUGCUCCGUGGGUUAAUGAUCUGGCGUGACUGUGGCGUAGGCCGCCAGUUGCAGCUGUGAUUCAACACCUAGCCUGGGAACUUCCAUAUGCAGCAGGUGCGGCCUAAAAAAAAAA
rnacentral:lncRNA from 1 species